rnacentral:lncRNA from 1 species
UAUCCCGUAUCAAUAAAAUAAUAUGUAUCUAAUAAAAAUUAAAAAAAAUAAUAGAUGUAUUGUAUUAUAAAAGAAUAUAAAAUUUAUUAAUUAUUGAAGAUUAUCUUGAGGAAUCUCUAGUUUAUCUUCUCCUCUAAGUGUAUUUUUAAUUAUCAUUGAGCCAGAUAUCAUCCCUUCCUAGUUAGGCAAGAUAUUAAAUUUUAAAUUAAAUGAGCAUACAGCCAAUAUAUUUUAUAUUAGAUAAUCCUUCCUAUCAUAAUACCUUGGGGCAUU